rnacentral:rRNA from 1 species
AACGAACGCUGGCGGCAUGCCUAACACAUGCCAGUCGAACGAGACCUUCGGGUCUAGUGGCGCACGGGUGCGUAACGCGUGGGAACCUGCCCUUAGGUUCGGAAUAACUCCCCGAAAGGGGUGCUAAUACCGGAUAAUGUCUUCGGACCAAAGAUUUAUCGCCUUUGGAUGGGCCCGCGUUGGAUUAGCUAGUUGGUAGGGUAAAAGCCUACCAAGGCGACGAUCCAUAGCUGGUCUGAGGGGAUGAUCAGCCACACUGGGACUGAGACACGGCCCAGACUCCUACGGGAGGCAGCAGUGGGGAAUAUUGGACAAUGGGCGAAAGCCUGAUCCAGCAAUGCCGCGUGAGUGAUGAAGGCCUUAGGGUUGUAAAGCUCUUUUACCCGGGAUGAUAAUGACAGUACCGGGAGAAUAGGCUCCGGCUAACUCCGUG